GAUGAACGCUGGCGGCGUGCCUAAUACAUGCAAGUCGAGCGAACAGACGAUGCUCUUGCUCCUCUGACGUUAGCCGCGGGCGUGUGAGUAACACGUGUAUCACCUACCUAUCUUACUGGGAUAACUUCGGGAAACCGGCGCUAAUACCGGAUAAUAUAUUGCACCGCAUGGUUCAAUAGUGAAAUACGGUUUUUCCGUCACUUAUCGAUGGAUCCGCGCCGCAUUAGAUAGUUGGUAAGGUAACGGCGUACCACGGCAACGAUGCGUAGCCGAACUGAGAGGGGGAUAGGCCACACGGGAACGGAGACAGGGACAAGACGACUAAGGGAGGCAGCAGUAGGGAAUCUGACGCAAUGGGCGAAAGCAUGACGGAGUAAGGCGGAGUGAGAGAUGAAGACAUCGGGAUCGGAAAAAUCUGUUAUGAGGGAAGAACAAAUGUGGAAGGAAAUAUGGACGGAGUGACGGUACCGAAUCAGAAAGCAACGGCUAACUACGUG
rnacentral:rRNA from 1 species